rnacentral:rRNA from 1 species
UACAGAGGUCUCAAGCGUUGUUCGGAUUUAUUGGGCGUAAAGCGCGCGUAGGCGGCCUCAUAAGUCCGUUGUGAAAGUCAAAGGCUCAACCUUUGAAAGCCGAUGGAUACUGUGAGGCUAGAGUCCGGAAGAGGCGAGUGGAAUUCCUGGUGUAGCGGUGAAAUGCGCAGAUAUCAGGAAGAACACCAACGGCGAAGGCAGCUCGCUGGGACGGUACUGACGCUGAGACGCGAAAGCGUGGGGAGCAAACAGG